UACGAAGGGGGCUAGCGUUGCUCGGAUUGACUGGGCGUAAAGGGCGCGUAGGCGGCUUGUACAGUCAGACGUGAAAUUCCUGGGCUCAACCUGGGGGCUGCGUUUGAUACGUAUGGGCUUGAGUUCGGAAGAGGGUCGUGGAAUUCCCAGUGUAGAGGUGAAAUUCGUAGAUAUUGGGAAGAACACCGGUGGCGAAGGCGGCGACCUGGUCCGAUACUGACGCUGAGGCGCGAAAGCGUGGGGAGAAAACAG
rnacentral:rRNA from 1 species